CCACCACACGUGGUCACAGUGAUGUCAGACUACUGGGAUCCAGAGCCUUGGUUUGUUGCUGUGGUGACGGUUACCGGCAUCCUGCUCCUGCUGGUCACAAGUCUGCUCAUCAGGGCCAUUCUGAGCCGCGUCUAUGGUUGGGGACCAAAAGAUGAGCCUGAACCUCCAUCAAAUAAGACGGAAGAGAUCGGCAAAAUGAACACAGAAGUGAGUCAAAAUGGGGCCAGUGAAAAUGACCAGGC